AAAUUAAGGAAAAUAUACAAAAUGUGCAGUAGAAAUCCAAACAUAAAAAACACACACAAUACACGGUAAAUUUCCCAGUGUAAUAUCUUCGUAGUCAAACUGUUCCAACUCUUUCAGAGUCAUCACAACAACAGAAAGUGUAAGGCCCCACACUCAUUUUCAAGGUGUUGGUGUUAAAACUCAGAGUUAAAAUCCAUCAACUCUGAGUAUUAACAGCUGUAAAUUGUUCAGUGUUAAAUAUGUUCAUUUACUCUUUUAGAGUUGUUUUAACAAAAUAAUGUGCAAACUGCCACCUAGUGGUGGUGAAUAAAUCUGGUGUGGAGAGACGCAGAAAGCUCCGCCCACCUCUUCACAUUUGAACCAAACCAUACCAGGAGUACGUGACCAACGUCCCUUCAAGACUACGGUCAUCACCACCCAGGCAGGUGAAAGAAAUCUACGCCGGGGGAUUUGUGGUCUUCCUUUCAAUCUGAGUGACCUUUCAGGGAGCGUUCAUUUCUCCAGGACCUGUCAUGACCGUUACUGAUGGUGAGAGUGGCACAAGCUACCUGGCAUGGAGGAUUAAAAACUAUUCAGCAAUCUGAAGCAGGACGCAGAUGAGCAUCACACAGAGGUUGGAACAAACAUUGGGGAAUACCUCCAGGGGGUGGAGUCCAGGCCCUAUUAAUCGGUUCUGGCCCUUGGACAAGUGACGCAAAAUUCUUUGCAAGCUUUUGCUGUGAUGGCUGGUCAGUGUGCCUCUUCAUGGGAGUUCCUCCAGAAAGUGGUUUAUGACAUGGAGGGACCAGAAUCUAACAAAGUUAGGUUUUUAAAGACUGUCUUAAAGAAUAUGAAAGUGUUUUAAAAAAAAAUCUGAGUUCAUAAAAGUUUAUGAAAAAAACAAAACAUUCAUUUCUUACAGAUGCUUUUUCUUCUACUUGCAGAAAACUUGCUAACCACUACUUGUUACUGCUGCUUUUUUGAGAAAGCAUUUGUCUUCUGUAUUUUAUUGGUACCCCUUUUUGGGUUUUAUUCUAAAUAAAUAUUUGUCAUUAA